UACGGGGGGGGCAAGCGUUGUUCGGAAUUACUGGGCGUAAAGGGUCUGUAGGUGGCUUGCUAAGUCAGACGUGAAAUCCCUCAGCUUAACUGGGGAACUGCGUCUGAUACUGGCAAGCUUGAGUGCAGGAGAGGAACGCGGAAUUCCAGGUGUAGCGGUGAAAUGCGUAGAUAUCUGGAGGAACACCGGUGGCGAAGGCGGCGUUCUGGACUGCAACUGACACUGAGAGACGAAAGCCAGGGGAGCAAACGGG
rnacentral:rRNA from 1 species